UACGUAGGGUGCAAGCGUUGUCCGGAAUUAUUGGGCGUAAAGAGCUCGUAGGCGGUUUGUUGCGUCGGCUGUGAAAUCCCGAGGCUCAACCUCGGGUCUGCAGUCGAUACGAGCAAACUAGAGUGUUGCAGGGGAGACUGGAAUUCCUGGUGUAGCGGUGAAAUGCGCAGAUAUCAGGAGGAACACCGGUGGCGAAGGCGGGUCUCUGGGCAACAACUGACGCUGAGGAGCGAAAGCGUGGGGGAGCGAACAGGAUUAGACUACCGAGUCAGU
rnacentral:rRNA from 1 species